rnacentral:rRNA from 1 species
AGCGAACGCUGGCGGCAGGCCUAACACAUGCAAGUCGAACGAACCUCUCGGGGUUUGUGGCGGACGGGUGAGUAACACGCGGGAACACGCCCCCUGGUUCUGAAUAACUCACUGAAACACUUGCUCUUAUAGCGGAUGCGCCCCGGGGGGAAGAGUUUUCCUCCUUAGGGUGGCCCGCGCCUGUUUUGCUCGUUGGUUGAGGUAAUGGCCCACCAAGGCGACGAUCAGUAGCUGGUCUGAGAGGAUGAUCAGCCACAUUGGGACUGAGACACGGCCCAGACUCCUACGGGAAGCAGCAGUGGGGAAUCUUGCGCAAUGGGCGAAAGCCUGACGCAGCCAUGCCGCGUGAAUGAUGAAGGUCUUAGGAUUGUAAAGUUCUUUCGCCGGGGACGAUAAUGACGGUACCGGGAGAAGAAGCCCCGGCUAACUUCGUG